CACGUAGGAGGCGAGCGUUGUCCGGAAUCAUUGGGCGUAAAGAGCGCGCAGGCGGCUUGGCAAGUCGGGUGUGAAAUCCCGGGGCUCAACCCCGGGAUUGCAUUCGAUACUGUCAGGCUAGAGGUAGGUAGGGGAGUUCGGAAUUCCUGGUGUAGCGGUGAAAUGCGCAGAUAUCAGGAGGAACACCGGUGGCGAAGGCGGAUCUCUGGGCCUUACCUGACGCUCAGGCGCGAAAGCUAGGGGAGCGAACAGG
rnacentral:rRNA from 1 species